AGACAGCAGUAGCCGCGGGAACACGUAGGUGGCAAGCGUUGUCCGGAUUUAUUGGGCGUAAAGCGAGCGCAGGCGGUCAAUUAAGUCUGAUGUGAAAGCCCCCGGCUCAACCGGGGAGGGUCAUUGGAAACUGGUUGACUUGAGUGCAGAAGAGGAGAGUGGAAUUCCAUGUGUAGCGGUGAAAUGCGUAGAUAUAUGGAGGAACACCAGUGGCGAAGGCGACUCUCUGGUCUGUAACUGACGCCGAGGCUCGAAAGCGUGGGUAGCAAACAGGAUUAGAUACCCCCGUAGUCCCUGUCUCUUAUAC
rnacentral:rRNA from 1 species